rnacentral:rRNA from 1 species
CUACGGGCGGCUGCAGUGGGGAAUAUUGCACAAUGGGGGAAACCCUGAUGCAGCAACGCCGCGUGGAGGAUGACACAUUUCGGUGCGUAAACUCCUUUUAUAUAAGAAGAUAAUGACGGUAUUAUAUGAAUAAGCACCGGCUAACUCCGUGCCAGCAGCCGCGGUAAUACGGAGGGUGCAAGCGUUAUUCGGAAUCACUGGGCGUAAAGGGUGCGUAGGCGGUUUGGAAAGUCAGGUGUGAAAGCCCGGGGCUCAACUCCGGAACUGCACUUGAAACUUCCAGACUAGAAUACUGAAGGGGCAGAUGGAAUUAGUGGUGUAGGGGUAAAAUCCGUAGAUAUCACUAGGAAUACCGAAAGCGAAAGCGAUCUGCUGGGAAGUUAUUGACGCUGAGGCACGAAAGCGUGGGGAGCAAACAGGAUUAGAUACCCCAGUAGUC